rnacentral:lncRNA from 1 species
GGUGGAGGUUGGUGUCUCAUGUUUAGAAAGUUUCUUUUCUCACAUUUAAAUUUAAAAAAAAAAAUUAAAUUUUGUUGGGAUGAAUUAAAUUGGAGGUGUAUUUAUAGGUUAUAAUUAGUCAAUUCAAACAUGUAUUUUUGUAUAUUUGAGAAUAUUGUAUUUUUGUAUAUUUGAGAAUAUUGGAGAGUUAGAAAGUAAAUACUCCACAUUUAUCAUUUGAUUCAAAUGGAUUGGAAGGUGAAAUUUUCACACAUCAAGUAAAUAUUUGUGCAGAUUCUUUAUCUAAAUUGGGAUGUUAUCAUGAGGCAGAGGUGAUUUAUUAUGAGUAAAUUCGUGUUGUAGUUUGUUUUCAUUCGGCUUUGGCCCUUUUAUUUCCCAAAAAGUACAUAUUGUUUUGCUUAUCAUUUAGUCCAUACUGAGUGUAGACCAAUAAUAUUACUAGAACGACGGUCACACUUCAUUUUUCUAAAAAAUUACAAUGACCCCAAAAUCAUACUUCUAGAUCCAAAAAUAAUAAUAUUUUUGUAUAGAAGUAUACUAUCAAACAAUAUAGUAUUUUUGGUUGUUGUACAUCUAAUGUGAUUUUGAGAGUGAAAAAUUGGGACUAUAUAGAAUUAGAUACUAAAUAGACGUCCAAAUUCAUUUUUGAAUUAGAUGAAUACUGGCUUGUAUCUUGUCUUGUCCAGUUUCAUUUCGGUCAUUUGAUUUUUUUUUUUAAAUAAGUUUAAUCAUUUGAAUUAUGUUUUUUUUUUUCAUUUUCAAGCUCAUUCAAACGAGUGACAUCUUUUAUUUUAAAAAAUAUUGUUGAUUCCGAAGCAAAAUUAUUGUGCUUAAAUACCAAUAUAGUUCAAGUAAAAUUGAGUUUUUUUCUUAAGGAAAGCAAUAUUUGAUUCUGUCAACAACAAAAAAUUGGUUAACGUUAGUGCUAUUGAAAGCAUAUACCGUCGUAUACUGCGUUCAAUAUAUCUAAAAGUAUAAGCAGAUAUUUGAAAGAGUAGUUGAGAAUGUUGGGGAUAAUGAAUGAGCUAUACAACGGUCAUCUCGAUCUUUUUCUCCAUUCGAAUUUAAAAAUUGAAUCUUCAAAAUCACAAAAUUUAAAUUUUAAGAUUAUAAUAUUUGAUAGUGAGUGGUGGCAUUAGAAUAUAGCAGUUGACUAUUUAUUUCAAGUAUAAGAUAUAAAUUUAAUAUUUUAAAGUUACUAAAUUAAGAAUAUCAAAAUAAUUUUUUAAAUAUUAAAAUAUAAUAUAUAAAAAAAUUGAAGCUCUUCCUUUUGGAAGCUUUGUACCAAUGUUCUUGUUAUACAGGUGUGGCGGUACUAAGUUAUAUGCAAGAGGUCUGAGAGUUUAAUUAACAUUUUCUCCAUCUCAUUAAGAUAUAUAUAUGAACUACUAAAUUUGCCUAUAAAACAACUUGAUAGUUUCAUCCUCCCUCUACCAUAUAUAAUAACUACUAAUACUUUUCUUAAAAAAAUGUAUUUAAUUUGAGUAAUUGCAUUUAUUUUUAACAAAAAAUAAAAUAUAAUUUAUAUAUAAUAUUAAUAUAUAAAAAAUUAUAUUGUUAAAUCGCAUAAAUAAUUUUGAUGUGUUGGUAAUGUACAAAAUAAAAAAAACUAUCCUACUAAUAUUAACUCGUUUGAUGUAAGUGCAGCAACACAUUCCUUUAUGCAAUUUGCAAGUUUGAAAUUUCGGGAUUUACUUUUAAGAUAACAUUUAAAAGAUUAUAUACUAGUAUGUGCGAAAUUGCAUAUCUAAAGUGUCUCAUAUAGCACAUGGAUUCGAGAUGGAGCACAUGGUUUAAGAGGAAGACCCACAAUAAACGUAUCAUAAAUAUCCACUUAAAUCGUCUUUAGUUGUUGUAAAUUACUUUUAUUCUUUUUGGCGGCAUCAAUCAAUGUUUUUGCACCAUACAAAAUGAAAAAAAAGAUUGCAACACGUUUUGUUACUUUUUUUAACAUAUAUUUUGUUAGUCUUUACAAUAAUUUUAUCAAUAAAUAUAAGAUUCUAUUAAAAAUUUAUAGUACAUGUUUUUUAUAACUAGCAAUAAAUUAGUACUACGAUUAAAAAAAAUAAAUUCUCUUAGAUGACAAAUUUAUAAAAAAAAAACGUUAUAAUGUUCAAUAAAUUUACAAAUAAUUUCAAUUUUUUAAUUUAAUCAAGUUAAAGAAAUACUAAUUAUUAAUAUUCACUCAAAAAAAAACACUUGUUAAACAUUCAUGCUUCCAAGCUGCCCAUAAUUUCUCUACGGUGAUUAUAUUAUAUAUAUAAUAACACUUGUUAUAAAGAUCAAUCUGAUUGAAAAGUCCAUUCAAAUCUAAUCUAUUAAAAUAAUGGAAAAGAAAGAAAAGUUGUCCUAUUAAUUAAACACUAAAAUGUAGUAUUUGACCAUUUUAUAGUCAUUAAAUAAUUGAUUUGAUUAAGUUGUUUUUAUCAAUUAUUGAUAUUCUUCUUAUAAUAAAUAUUAAGUAGAUAAUAACUUGUAAAUUAUGUACAUAAUAGUAAGUAGAGAAUAAAAUGGAAAUAAAUAAUUAAAAAUACAUUUUAAAUUAAAAGUAAUAAUUUUUAUAAAUAUAAUUGUAUUUAACCUUUAAGAUUUAAUUUAAAAUCAACAAAAUAUUAUUAUGUAAAACAUUAUAUUUUAAAUGUAAAACUAAAAAUUCACAGAUAUAUGUAUUAAUUUAUCAUAUCUGUUAUAGAGAAAAAAAUAAUCAUUAUAUUUAUAAGAGAGGGAGUAUGGAAGAAUUGAGCAGACAAUAAAAAUAAAUAACUUCGAAAGGGUCCCAUAUAUCAGAUCCUGUCAGUCUAUUUAAUUGUUUAAAUUACUCAAACAAUAAUGCCACUUCAAAGUAAAAGUAAAAAAAUUCUCGGAUUUUAACUUUGUACUUAGAUAUUAAUAAAAGUAAUUGUAACAAGAGACCUAAUUAAUGAUUUUUAUUUAGACCUAAUUAAAAGUUGAUGAAUACUUCACGAGUAAUGCUAUAUCUCCCAAAACAAUUUAUCCCAAAGGCACCAUGAAUGUGUAACUGAACAAUAAAGGAAGAAUAUCUAUAUAUAAUGUAUCAAAUUAAUAUAAUAAUCAUAUACAUGAGUUGUCAAGUUAUUCACAAUGUUUUUAGUAAUAACUCCUUCAUGAGAUAACACAUUCUCAUUUAUAAUAUAAUACUGACAAAUUUUAAUAUGAUCUCAAGAUCAGUUUUUAAAAAUAUUUAAAAUUUUAACAAUUAUUUUAUGAUCUAUCAGAUGUAGACGGUCAUCUUUAUUUUUAUUGAAAUAAUAAUUUAAAUAAUAUUAAUUGGAUAAAAUAUAUAUAUAUAUAUAUAUAUAUAUAUAUUAAAUCGACAUUAAUCGAAUCACCAUUCUAUCCAUAAAAAAGAGGAAUAUCAUAAGCUAUUUUUUUAAAAUUAUUAUUUUAUACCUCAGUUAAAAUUUUCAAUUAAUUUUUAAUAUUGAUAUAUGAUGAAUUACAUAAAAAGGUGCUUCAAUUCAUCCUAUAACAUACUCCUUCUAAUGUUGAAUAUAAAAUAAAGAUAUGUCAACAAAAAUUGUUCAAUCACUUUCUUUUAUAGUCUCACAAAACUGGCAAUUUAGAACGCCAAUUUUCAUCUUUAAUUAUCGUCUUUACUUUGAUAUUUCAAGAUCUAAACUAUUCGAUGUUUUUUAAUGUCACUUUAAUUAAUAAUUUUUUAAAAAAUAUCUCUACAAAUAUUUAUAUUAUAAUAAUAAUAAUAAUAAUAAUAAUAAUAAUAAUAUUGUUUAAUUUUUAAUUGGAAUGAUAAUAUUAUUUAAAUAGAAUUUUAAAAAUGAUUACAUCAAAUAUGAUAAUUCAGUUGUGAUUUUCUUUUAUUUUAAAUCCUUAAAUAUGACAUUUUUGUUAUUGAGUUUGAAUAAAUAGAAAUGAUAUUAUUUUAUGUGUAAUCACUAUAUCCAAUUAUCAUUUCAAUCACUAUAUUUCUCCGACAAAUUAUCAAACUUUCCCGUUAAAAAUAAUUUUAAUAUUAUGGUAGAAAAUGACAAACUCACAUUAGAAGUGAACCUUUGACAUAUAGGAUAUAGCUUUUAAGUUCAAUUGUAUCGGAACACGAGAAAACACUAACAUGCACAAUACAUUUAACAUACUUGGUUUGUAUAAAAAACAUAAAAUUAAUUUAAAAAGUGUUAUAUUUUGUACACAUACCUAGAGAAUCAAACACAUAAAUCCCGCAUCGACAACAAAUCAAAUAUCUUAUUUUGAUGUCUGUGAAGUUGUUUUAAUAUUCAAGACAGAGAUUCGCUAAACAACUUUAAUUAAAAUAAAUAAAUUGGCAAAUACCAUAAUUAAGGAAUGUAACACAUAUUAACAGAGAGUAUAGUAUAUACGUACUUAGCCUUUUUGUCUAACUGUUAUACUGUGAGGUCAAAUAUGUUCGAUUAGAGUUGGAGAUUGAAUCUGUUUUUAUAACAUUACUUUAAAUUUUAAAAAUUAAUUGUUUUGUUUCAAUAAAAAAAAUUAAUAGCUGAGUUUAGUUGAAAAAAUUAUAUUCUUACAAUCUUGAUUUGAAUUUCGUUUGGAAUAAACCUAUGAAAAAAACAAAAUUCAAUAGAUAAUUGUUCUAAAAUAUAUUAUUAAGUUGUUAGCUAUAAAGACGUCAAUAUACAUAAGUCAAUGAAAUAUAUGAUUCUCUAUUUUUGAGUUUAGUAAAUAAACUAUUUUACAAAAAAUAAGUAAAUAGCUAGCUUCAUGAAACUCUGUAAUUAUAGGAUAUAUUUACUCUUGCAAUUACUCAAGCGAGAGAAAAAAUAAUUCUCCCAUGAAUUCCUCCAUGAUUUCAGGUUCAUUUGAGCAUAAAAAAGUGAAAAUAGACCUUUUUUUUUUUUCUUAAACAUAAUAUUUUUAAGUGGGUUACGCUUAAGGACAAUAAGUGUCGGCUUCGGUAGUUUACUAUAAUUUGAUUUUGGUGCGGAGUUGACAAAAUUCUAUAUUAUAUUUUUAUUAAAUUUCAAUAAUUCUAUGUGAUUUUGUGAAUAUUGCAGCAAAAUUAAAAUACAUAUAAACAAAAAAUAUAUGUUGUCUAAAUUUAUAUAAAUAUAUAGUUGAUUUUUUAUAUUUAAAAUCAAAGAGUAAUAAUAUAUAUAUAUAUAUAUAUAUAUAUAUAUAUAUAUAUAUAUAUAUAUAUAUAUAUAUAUGAGCUAGAGAUAAAAAAAAAUAAAAUGUUUCAUAAUAAUUAUUUAUAUCAAAUUAUUUCUCUAAUUAUAGUACCAAUGAGAAUAUUUCAAUAAAUAUGUACAUAAUUCAAUAAAAUCAACACAAUUAAUGUUUAUCUCGAUAGGUAUUUCAACAAUACUAUAUUGGCUACAACAUUUAAUGUUUAGAAGGAUGAAUUUGGUAUGUCUCCAAUACUGCAUUCAUUCUUAAUUAUAAGUAUAUGCUGUACUUCCACAUAUAUUAUAAAAUACAAUAGAUAAUGAAUUUAAUAUAUUAAUUUUAUGCCUAAUUGUUUGUAACAUACUUUUUAUAUAUUAACAUAUUGAAUUUAUUUUUCUUCUUUUAAGAUAAAUGAUUUAUAGUAUUAAUCAGAGUAUGUUUGAUAGAAAAUAAUAAAUAGAUGUUGUAAUUUGGAGAAGUACUAAUAAUUUGUGACAAUAUUUUAUUUUGUAACAAGUACAUUUAAUUAUGGACAGAGAUAGUAUCUAAUUUGUCCCAAAGAUACCUCUCAAAUAUAUUUAAAGCAGUAGUAACUCAAAAAAGAAUAUUAAAUUUGAUUUCAAAAAAGAAAUAUAUUUUAACUUAUUUUAUUUUAUUUAAUGAUGUUAUUAAAAAUAUAUUAUUCUGUUAUUAAUUAUCGUUUUUAUUUUAAUUUUUGUAACUCUUUUCAUUUCAACAAACAAGUUGCUAUAACUUUUUGUUUAAUUUUUAAUAAUUUGAUAAUUUCACAUAAAUUUUAAUUACUUCAUCUGCUCGGAAAUAAUUACCAUUUAAGAUUUGUUUGUGAGUUGAUAUUUAGAGGAUUUUGGAAGAAAGUAUUAUGGAGGAACUAAAUUUAUAUUUUGAUAGGCAUUUAAGAAAUAUAAAAAAAAAAAAAAAACAAUAUAAUACUUUAUACCCAAUUAUCAUGCUGUUCUUUCAAAUUUAUAAAAUAUAAAUUAAAAUGUAGAUUUAUUUCUCUAAAUCUUUAAAAAAAUCCAACUUGCAAAUAAAUCUUUAAAAUAUUUUUUUACAUAGAUAAUAAAUAAAUAAGUUUAACAAUUUUACAAAAUUGUCAUAAUUAAAUACAAGUUAUUAACAAUUAUUCCCAACUCCUGCUGGUAUAAAACACGCAUAAUGAGAUUUAAUGACUUCAAAGUCAUGCACAAAGCAAAAUUAAAAUAAAAUAAAGGAAUUUGACAUUGAAAUAACUACAUUGUAACACGAAAAAGAAUGCUCAAAUGAUAAAUAUUUUAAAAUCGAUGGAGUAUUUUACUAAAUUUAAGUAAAAAAAUAUCAACAAUAUAUUUUUGUAAACAUAUUUCUCAACAUAUUAUUUUUGUAUUGGUUGAAUUUUAUACGAGACCUAUUAAAUUAUGUAAGACUCACACAAAUUUAGUGAGUCAAAUAGAUACAUUAUAUGUUUAAAAAAAAUUUAUAUUAUCAAUUAAUCACAACUGUUAGAUCAUUAAUGAUAUUUGACUUUUAUCAUAAUUACAUCUAAAAUUACCUACAUAAAGAAUCGUGAUUUAUCAACCGUGUAAAUAUCAAAAUCGAUAUAUGAUCCAUGAAAAUUAAACUAUUUUAUUUAUAUAUUUUUCUUUUUGGAAAAGAAAAAUAUUCAUUUUUUUUAAAGAGAAAAUGAGAAGAAAAAGACAAACCAAAAUCUCGCCAUCCGAAAGUCACCAACCCUUAUGGGUCAAGUGGCAUAUUAACAAAGGGAUACGCUGAGUAGUAGGCCCUUUGCUAUGUCUCAAUAAUCUUUGUGAUCAGAUGUGUCCAAAGGUGUUAGGAAAAUUAUAUCAAAAGAGAUAUCAAGGAGGCCACGAGUUUUCAAAUUCAACAAUGAUUUAUGAAUAUUUAAUUUUACAUAUUACAUAUGCAAUGCACUAUAAUUAUUUAAAAUAUUAACUUUAUGAUCAAACUUUUAUCUUCUUAAUUAUGCAAUAGUAAUUUAUAUGAGAAUGAGAAAUGAUUUACACGUAUAAGAGGAAAUAAAUCAUACCGUGUAAUGGAUGUCUCCAGUCAGAUUUUUUAAACAAAACAAGAGGUACAAAAAUAUUUUUAGAAUUCUAUUUAAAAAUGUCAAAUUAUUUGUAUAGAAAAAUAAAUAUCAAAUUGUAGAAAAAAAUAGAACUAGGAAGGAACGGAUAUAGACCUAAACCAUCUUUCCUUUAAAUAUUAAUUAAUUAUAUACAUAAUAUUUUAUUUUAGUUAUAUUAAAUAUCUCUUCUUCAAAUCUCUCAAGAUAGAGGGAGAGUAUAAGAACUCUAAGAUAAAUUUUAACUUCGUCCACUCUCUUUUAAUCAAACACGUUUCAUUUAAAUAGUUUUAUAAUAAUAAUAGUGAUAUAUAUUAUUAUAAACCUUUUUUUUAAUAAACAAGAUGUAUUAGAAAUGAGUAAAGAAAUAAUUAAAUCCAUUACAAUAAAAGGGUAUUUAAAUCCAUUAGAAUAUUACUUAAUGAAUAAAGAAGACAAAGGAUUAUUAAACCAACUUGAAAGCCAAAUCCAAAUUGCUUACUUUUAAAACCAACAACCAAAGACCAAGACAUUAUCUUGAAAAUGUGAAUAGUUUUGGUAAUGCAACCCACCUCCCAACAAGAAAUCAUUAACCUUAUACGAUUAAAAUCAUCAGAAAAAACAAGUGGCAAGCUCAAGCAAACUUUGUAAGCGCUUUUUGUAGAAAAAAAAAUCCUCCAGCCAGCUAAAAUUCAAUCGAAGAUCACCUUAAUUAUGAUAAAUUAUGAAUGGCCUGCGGAUAAUUAUUCUUUAGAGUAUAUAUAUUAUAUUGUAAUAAUGUAGUAUCAUCAAUCAAAUCUUAUCAUGGGUUAGUUUAUAGCGUUGAUAGAGAUCGAGACAUUUUGAAUACAACUCAAAUUUGUGAAUCAAUUUAAUUGUACACAAGUAAGAUAAAUUGCAUGCUCUAACAUAUUGGACCUCUGGGACUUUGUCAAGAAGUUUUAAUCAACUCAAUUUAAUAACUUACUAUAAAUAUAUAUAUUUGUUGUAUUAAAAAAUUGAACAAUUUUUAAAAAAUAUUUAAUAACCUGUCAACUAAGUUCUGUGUUAUUAAAACCUAAUUUUACAACCCAAAAAAUCAAUGAGUUAAAAAAAACUAAAAUCAUUAAGUUUUUUUAAUUCAUCUUUUUUUACUUAUAUUUUAUUUUAAAAGACUGUAAUUUUGGUUUUUUCUAUAAUAUUUUAAUUAAAAAAUGGUCAUGUGGCCUGUUUUAAAUAAUGUGUCAUAUGAUAUAAUGAUUUAGAAUAAUUAACAUCUAUAAAAUAAAAAAAUAAAACACCGUAAAAAUUUAAUUUUAAAUUUUAAAAAACUUUUAUAUUUAUAAUUUAAUUAAUGACAUAUGAAUAAUUAAUACAUUUAGAUGAUUAUAUAUCAUAAAGUUGUAUCUCCUGUUAUUUAAAAUACAAACACUAACGAUUUCUAAAAUAGAGAGAUUAAUUUUAUAAAUUAAUAAAAAUAAAAGAAACAAAACUAUAAUUAAAUUAUUUUAUUAUAGAUAAAUUAUUUGCUAAUUUGUUAGAAAAAAAAAAUUCUUAACUCGUAAUCUUCCUGCUGUAAACAACACAUAGUCAUCUUGUGAUCACUCUCACAGCCAACAAACCAGCUUAGCUAAUAUAUUGUUUGAGAACUUAAAAUAUCUGGAUACUUAUUUUUAAUAUUUUAAUAAAAAAUAUAGUAUUGUAUUUUAUAUAAUAAUUUUAUAACAUAAAUUUAUAAAAAUAUAUUUAUGUAUUAAUACUUAUUAUAGAGAGUUAAUAUAUCAAAUUUUGAUUGACAUUUUUAAUAAUUAAAAAUUAAUUUUUUCAAAUUCAAUUUUUUUAAACAUUAAAUUUUUUAGAGUUUAAUUGUUAUGUUUUAAAAAUCUACAAGCUUUUACAAUGUCAACACAUCACAAACAUUCAUAUAUGUCACUUUAAAAGUAAUUAUAACAAAAGUGAAGCUAAUUUAUUAAUAUCACGAUUAUGAUUAUUUGACGGUGUAAAAUAUUUUUACAUCAUCGCACAUAUAAAUUAAAUCUAAAUUUUUACAUUAUUAAUACGACUUUCUUAACGACAAAGACAAAAAUAAUAUAUAUUGAUGAUUUUUCAUCAUAUGCAUAUUUUUUAUUAUUUUUAGUGUUAUUUAUCUUUUAUUCAUUAGUUAAUUUAAGUAGUUAUUUGAUAUAAUUUGUUUAUUUUAGUUCUUUGAUUUAAUGAAAUAUUUAUGUUCUUAUUUCCUUGAUUAAUUAGAUAUUUUUCGUAGUUUUGCGUUGUUUCUUUGUUUUAAUGCAGUGCUGAAUUUUGGUGAGAAAUAAACAUGACAUAUGUGGAGUAUUUCAGCCAUAUUGAGAGUUGUAGAUGUCCAAUUGGAGGCAAAUCAAGUGAAAGUGAAAGCUAAUAUCCAUAGCUACAAUUUUCAUGAAGACACAAGAACAAAAUUUAGGCUCGAAAGAGACGAAAAAUGCAAUAUAAGUCAUAUAGCAAAUGUUGUCCGCCUGAAGCACAAAGACCUGCACAUGGGGCGUAUUUCGGCCUUCCUGAGUUUGUCCACUUGUGCCUGAAACGCAAAUUCCGUGUCUAGGGCGCGUGGCAUGCAGCUGAAUGUUUAAAAACACAUUUUUCUCACUUUUUAGGGAUCUUUUUAACUAUUAGGAAGUGUGGAGACUUGUACCCUAGCAUAGAAACUCAAAGACAGUCGUUUCUAACACCAUUAGAGCAGUUUUAUCAAAAACCAUUCAUGAAUCUUUCUUGUAAUUCUUCUCUAAUCUCUAUCUUUUUUAUCUAUGUCAUGAAUAACUAAACUUUAUUUGUUAGGGAUGAGUGUAACAAGAUGAAACCCUUAUUUUUUAUUUGAUUUCUAGUUAUAUGAAUGAGUUUAUUGAAUUAUUUUUCUCAUCUCAAUACUUAAUGUUUUUUAUUGUUUGAUCAACAUUAAAAUGUUCUACGAUUCGUAUUUUGAAAUAGAAGUAGACUUUACGAAUGAUUGAGAUGAGAAAUUCAUGAAUUUGUAAUAUAUGGAUAGAUGCACGUCAUGAAACCAAUUAAAUUAGUUGUAGCAACAAUAGUUUAAAAAGAGAAUUCUUGUACGAUAAUGCUUAAUUCUAAUCUUAAAUUCACUAAGGAGUUAUGGGUUACUUUAGAAUUAAAGGUUCUGUCACUAAGACAUUUUGGCAAAAAUAAUAAAGAGAAUUCAGUAAUAAUUCAAUAAAGAAAUCCAGUAACUAUGAUCAAAUUAGACACUGAGGUUAGAUUCGAAAUGAAACUCAUCCUUUACAAUUUUCUUAUUAGAAAUGAUCAAUUUUAUAAGUGUUGUUAAUUUUAUAUAUUAUUUCAAUUAAUUUGUGAACUUUUUGUUCAAUUUUAGUAAUUAAAUAUAAUUCGAUAGUAAAACGCAAUCCUUGAGUUCGACACUCGAUACUACCAUUUUAAUUAUUACUUGCUAAGAUUCAGUACACACUACGCAAAAAAACCUAUUUUAAUUAUGUGUAAUAAGCGCUCUAAUAAGUUCUUUAAUUAUGUGAAACCGCAAGACUUUUACAGCGCUUGUCAAAAAAACGCUUUAAAAGCUAUGUAACAUAAGGUGAGAGCGCUAUAUUUUACAGCGCUUAUGUUUAAAGCACUCCAAAAGCGUUGUAAAACAUUAUGCGAUGGCGCUUCAAUUUACAGCGCUUUCUCAAAAGCGUUGUAAAAGUCUUGUAAACAUUAUGUAUAAGCAUUGUGUGACCCUAUAUGACCCUACAACAGUGUUUUUUCCACAGCGUUUGUCAAAAAAACGUUGUUAUAGCAUUCGUUAUUUUUACGUGUAUUAUACAACAACGUUUGUAUUUAUUAAGCGCUAUAAAAUAUCAUUUUUAGCGUAGUAACACUUGCUGAACGUUAUCACAUAUAAUUAUUAAAAUACAUUUAAACAUAACACAAUGUUUAAAAUACCAAUAUUAACAUAGCAUUGAUAAAAGAUAAUUGUUUGGUUUAAGUAUUAUGCAAUCUAUGUUAAAAUUAAAUGAAAUUAUAUUUCAAAUCAAUAAAUAUCAUAUUUAUUGAUUUAGCUCAACUUGAAUUCAAGUCCUUAAAAAAUAUCAAAAUAAUUUAAUUAGUUUUAGUUAAAUUAUUGUAGUUAUUUUUAUAAUAGGCAUCUAUAUUAUAAUUUAAUAAAUUAAAAUUACUUUAUUUGGUUCAGAGUCAUGUUAAAGAAUUAAGAGACCAUGUUAUAAUCUUAAACAUUUGGCCUAAUAAAAAAUGUAAUUUUAAUAAUUAAAAAAUUAGAUAAAAUAAAUUUUAGUUUAUAUACAAAUACUAAUUUACACCAUACAAUGAAGAUCUACACGUAUCAAUUUACAUGAUACAUAUCAUUAGUUAAAUUAAUUCAUGUAAUAAGAAAAGGUGCAUAGAUUGCAUGAGAACUUCACAUAUUAUUCAAAAACAUAUAUUUUAACAUCGAUAACUCAACAACUAUAAUUUUAAUCAAAAAAUAUAACAAUUAUAAAACUCAAAAUUACAAUAUACACCGUAAUAUUUAUAUUAAUUAAUAUAUUUAAUAAUAUAUGUCAUGUUCCAAGUUAAAAUUCACCACAAUCUAUUAGCAUAUAUCAAAUCAUAUAUAUUUCAUAGACUUAUAUAUUUAAUUUAUUCAAAUUAGUCACAAUUAAUAAUUAUUUCUUUUAACAUAAAUAGUUUUCUCUUAUAAAAUUUAUUUACUUUUCGUUCAUUCAUUCGUGUGUAAAAAAUUUCUUAAAAUCAUACAGUGAAUCACAAUAUUAUUUAUGAGAUAACCAUCUUAUAUUCAUUUACACAAAUUUGAAACAAGCAUCUUAUAUUCAUUCACACAAAUACAAAGAGUCAACAGAAGUAUGUGAAAUUGGAGUUUUACUUUCUAGAUGAGAAAUAUAUACUUACAUGAAUUUUCUUUUGAGAUAAAAUAGAUCUAUUUUUAUUAAAUAAAUUAUACUUUAUACUUCUCUUAAAAAAAAUUAGACACAAUAGAUAUUCUUUCAAUGAAGCUUAAAACAAAUAUGAACCCUAAAAUGUAUUUAACUAAUUGUUUAAUUUACCAACAAAAUAUCACUGGUAAGAGAAAGACUGAAUAUACACAUUAAUAAUUUAUUUUAUGAUAUAAUAUAAUAGAUAUGAUUUGUCUUACAACCCCUUCUGCAAAGCAGCAGGUCGAAAACUACACAUCAUCAGCGUUUGCAUGUACUAUUAAUUAACAGCAGAACAGACUGCUUUACAACUGUCAAAAUAAAUAAAAAGCUAAAAUACAUAACAGCUUAAAGAAAUUAGAGAAAAAAAAACACAAUAACAAUCUUAUCACCAUAUAAUAGAAAAAUUAACGCCUUUUCUUUCCUGAAGACAAAACGCGGAAACUUUGCUUCCCUUUUUUCUCUUUCGAUGUAUCUUCCUUCCAUCACUUUCUUUAUUUUCAUAUAUUCUUCAUAAUCUUUCCUACAAAAAAAUAUAUAUAUAAAUACAUAUAUCCAUUCUUUUGUUGUCCAUCGGUCAAUGUCAUUAAUUAUAUCCCUCUCCUAAAUCUAAACUAAAAAACAUAAAUAUCAAUUCACAUAAAAAAGUUGAUUUAGACUGGUCAAUUAUAGAAAACAUGUAAAGUACUAAAAUAUAUAUAUAUAUAUAGAUUAGAAAAGACAAUGAAAAUUUAGAUAAAUCUAUUUUUAAUUCAUACUUUAAAUUUUAGAUUUGGAUUGCAUGCAUGACACAUUUAUUAUUAAGAAUAAAAUAUGACAAUAUUUAAAGGUUAUUAGACAAUAUUUCAAGGUUAUUUAAUAAAAAAUAUAAUGUGAGCCGAUAAAUCUCUAUCAAAUCAAUUUAAAUUAUGUAAGUAAAUGGCAUAUCUGUUAAAAGAAAGGAAUCUUGUUACCUACAUCUUAUGACCAGUAAAUUAGAGAGAAAUUAUUAAAACAAUUAACUAAUUUCCAUUGUUAAAUUAUUUUAUCUAAAAAAUAAAAUAUUUGAAAGGGUUAGAGUAUAAAUUUAUAUUAUAAUGUAAUGUAGAGGAGUCUGAGAGGAGAAGCUUACAUAGACAGCUAUGGUAAUAAACCACUAUUAUUGUUUACUAUCUAAUAGUGGUAAGGAGGAGGAGGUGAGGAAUAGAGGUAAGGCUUCUUGGUUGGAGUUGGUGGUGGAGAGUGGUAAACUGGAUGUGGAAUGUAUGGGGGAGAAGUAUGAACUGGUGGUGGAGGUGAGUGAUAAACUGGGUGUGGAAUGUAAGGAGGUGAAGUAUAAACUGGUGGAGGUGGUGGUGAAGGAUACUUGUAUGGCUUCUUGUAUGGUGGUGGUGGUGAGUGGUAGACUGGGUGUGGAUAUGGGUGGUGGGUUGGUGGUGGUGGUGAUGGAUAUUUGUAUGGCUUUUUAGGUGAUGGUGGGGGUGAAUGGUAAACUGGGUGGGGGUGUGGAUAAGGAUGUGGGUGAGGAUGAGGGUGAGGAUGUGGGUGGGGGUGAGAUGGAGGUGGAGGAGAUGAGUACUUGUAUGGCUUUUUAUGGGGUGGGGGAGGUGAGUGGUAAACUGGGUGGGGGUGUGAUUUUGGAUGGGGUUGUGGAUAGGGAUGUGGUUUUGGAUGGGGGGGUGGAUGAGUGUAAGGGUGGGUUGGAGGGGGUGGUGAAGGAUAUUUGUAUGGCUUUUUGUGAGGAGGAGGUGGUGGAGAGUGAUAGUGAGGUUUAGGGUAGACAUGCACUGGUGGUGGAGGAGAGGAAUAUUUGUAAUGCUUUUUUGGUGGUGGUGGGGAAUGGUAAUAGGGUUUAGGGUGAACAUGAUGAACUGGUGGUGGUGGUGAAGGAUACUUGUAAGGUUUCUUCGGUGGUGGUGGAGAGUGAUAAUGGUAAGGGUGUUUUGGAGGUGAGUAAACUGGUGGUGGUGGAGAAUGGUAGUAGUAUGGUUUCUUUGUUGGUGGUGGUGGUGGUGAGGAGUAGUGGUAAGGUGGUGAAACUGGAGGGUACACCUUAGGUGGUGGUGAGACUGGGGGGUACACCUUAGGAGGUGGUGAAACUGGAGGGUAUACCUUAGGUGGUGGUGAGACUGGAGGGUAUACCUUAGGUGGUGGUGAGACUGGGGGGUAUACCUUGGGUGGUGGGGGUGAGGAAUACAAGUAAUUGUUUGCUGAAAUUUGUGAUGGGAAGGUGGUGAGAGAUAGUAUGGCUAAUAGAAGAGUUAAAGUGAUAGAGGCCAUUAGAGACCCCAUUUUUUAUGGUUACUCACAACCUCACUGGGUAUAGUGGGUUUUUGUUAUGCUCUAAGCUAAGGAAGUGUUGCCCUUUAUAUAGAUGUUUUAUUUACCUUAUUCAUCUUGCUCACUUUAUUUUCAACUUGGUUGCCAGUAAGGUGCUGCCGUUUCUUCUCCUCUUUUUGUCAC